CCUACGGGUGGCAGCAGUGAGGAAUAUUGGUCAAUGGACGAGAGUCUGAACCAGCCAAGUAGCGUGAAGGAUGACUGCCCUAUGGAUUGUAAACUUCUUUUAUAUGGGAAUAAAAUGUUCCACGUGUGGGAUUUUGUAUGUACCAUAUGAAUAAGGAUCGGCUAACUCCGUGCCAGCAGCCGCGGUAAUACGGAGGAUCCGAGCGUUAUCCGGAUUUAUUGGGUUUAAAGGGAGCGUAGGUGGAGUGUUAAGUCAGUUGUGAAAGUUUGCGGCUCAACCGUAAAAUUGCAGUUGAAACUGGCAGUCUUGAGUACAGUAGAGGUGGGCGGAAUUCGUGGUGUAGCGGUGAAAUGCUUAGAUAUCACGAAGAACUCCGAUUGCGAAGGCAGUUCACUGGACUGCAACUGACACUGAGGCUCGAAAGUGUGGGUAUCAAACAGGAUUAGAUACCCCAGUAGUC
rnacentral:rRNA from 1 species